AGUGAACGCUGGCGGUAGGCCUAACACAUGCAAGUCGAACGGCAGCACAGUAAGAGCUUGCUCUUACGGGUGGCGAGUGGCGGACGGGUGAGGAAUACAUCGGAAUCUGCUUUUUCGUGGGGGAUAACGUAGGGAAACUUACGCUAAUACCGCAUACGACCUACGGGUGAAAGCAGGGGAUCUUCUGACCUUGCGCGAUUGAAUGAGCCGAUGUCGGAUUAGCUAGUUGGCGGGGUAAGGCCCACCAAGGCGACGAUCCGUAGCUGGUCUGAGAGGAUGAUCAGCCACACUGGAACUGAGACACGGUCCAGACUCCUACGGGAGGCAGCAGUGGGGAAUAUUGGACAAUGGGCGCAAGCCUGAUCCAGCCAUACCGCGUGGGUGAAGAAGGCCUUCGGGUUGUAAAGCCCUUUUGUUGGGAAAGAAAAGCAGCAGGUUAAUACCCCGCUGUUCUGACGGUACCCAAAGAAUAAGCACCGGCUAACUUCGUG
rnacentral:rRNA from 1 species